GGGUGCUUAGCUCAGCGGUAGAGCGCUGCCCUUACAAGGCAGAUGUCGUAGGUUCGACCCCUACAGCACCCACCA
rnacentral:tRNA from 1 species